GCUGAUGCUGCUGGUUUCUAUGGUCUCAACUGGUUCUCUUGCUCUUAUGUUAUUUUCUCAUUCUUGAGCGGUGAUUUUCCAGAACAGUUUGGGUAAGAAUCACAAUUAUGCAGAAUGGAAGACAUCACUACUAAUGGAAGGCAAGUAAAAAAGAAGAUUUCAUUGAUGGAUUCAAUAUGAACAAUAAAAGUGAAAAUAGAAAUCGACCUUUUACAAUAUGACAUUGUUUCAAAACAAAGGUCUAAAAGGCUAAAAUA
rnacentral:lncRNA from 1 species